rnacentral:rRNA from 1 species
CCUACGGGAGGCAGCAGUGGGGAAUCUUGCGCAAUGGCCUAACGGCUGACGCAGCGACGCCGCGUGAGGGAUGACGCUCUUCGGAGUGUAAACCUCUUUUGCCUGGAACGAAUUGUCAGCUUCAGCUGACUUGACGGUACCGGGUGAAUAAGCACCGGCUAACUCCGUGCCAGCAGCCGCGGUAAUACGGGGGGUGCGAGCGUUGUCCGGAAUCACUGGGCGUAAAGGGCACGUAGGUGGCGUGAUAAGGGUGUGGUGAAAGCCCGGGGCUCAACCCCGGGUCGGCCAUGCCGACUGUCAGGCUCGAGUACUGUAGGGGCAGGCGGAAUUCCGGGUGUAGCGGUGGAAUGCGUAGAGAUCCGGAGGAAGACCGGUGGCGAAGGCGGCCUGCUGGGCAGUUACUGACACUGAGGCGCGACAGCGUGGGGAGCAAACAGGAUUAGAUACCCUGGUAGUCCACGCCGUAAACGAUGGGUACUAGGUGCCUGGGGGAGCGACCCCUUGGGUGCCGGCGCUAACGCAGGAAGUACCCCGCCUGGGGAGUACGGCCGCAAGGCUGAAACUCAAAGGAAUUGACGG